UUCUUAGGUUAUUUAUCUGAUUUAUUGAUUAUGAUGGUGACGUUAUCUAGUUAUUUUAGUUUUCUGCAAGUGUAAUCUGUAUGUGUUUUAUUAAAUAUAUGUGGCUGAAUCUGUAUGAAUUUGCUCCAAGUGACACUUUGAAUUCGUUUUGUUGUACUUUUUGAUUUUGGAAUAUAUUUUGGUUGGAUCUCUUUGUGUUUUCAUCCGAACACACUGUGUUUUUGGAUUGUAUAAACGCAUGACCAAAGCAACAAUAGCUUUGCAGCUGCACAAGCAACUGAAGACCUUACGGACCCACAAGGACUGAAAUCACCAUUUCUGCUCAUCAGAUAUUGUAUUUGCUUCAGUUUUUAAAAAGAGACAUUUUCAGGACUGAGAAUCAUGAUUUUAGUUUGUAUGAUUUGUAAACAGGUUUCAUUUUAAAGUAAUGCAAAAUGAUGCUCGCAUUUAGGCAUCUAGCUAACACGCGGGCUCUUGGUCAGAUGUUCUGGUGAGAAUUCUCAUAAGUUCCAAAUUCAAGCUCCUAACUAAUAUCGAUAACCUUUGUUAUAGGAGUUGAAUGACAUUGACUUGCUAGUUGAUAGGAGGAGCAGGGGCCCGAGCUGGUAUACAUGCAGGGAACUUAUAGGGGGAGCACAGGCCCGAGCUACUCAUUUGUGCAAUACAAGCAUUCCUGAACUUAAGCAAUCUGUGGAAAAAGCCAUUGAUGCACUAAGGAGCCAUUACAGGGCUGUAUCAACUUAGCAUUACCUUAAAGAAUAAUUAGGCCCUUAGUUGGUACGAAAGUAAGUAAUUUAACUGCUAUAUCGGGCAAGGACCUGAAGGUGGUCAAUGAAGUGAAAAGAAACUAAGUGCAAUCGCUCUCGCAACAGAAAAGCAGACAAUAGUAAAAAGUGCGAUCAGUAAGUUUCAUGCAACGAUACAGUUGCAAUUUGAUUUUCAUAGGGCCUUAUACAACCUCGGCACUGUUUGUAUGGGUUAGCAGGAGACACAUCAAGAACUGGAGGGACAACGGGAGGAUAUGAUGUUUUCCCGGAUAAAUUAUAUAGUCAGACAGCCAUCUACAUUGCUGCUGCUCAUGCAUUAAAGCCAAGUUACUCUGUGUGUAUCUUCUAUGCAUCAAGAUCGGGGAAGAUAAAAAAGAAUACACGGAUGAUAUUUUGGAUGAAAUUCGUGAAGAAUGGGCAAAUUAUGUGGCAAACUUCAUUUACCGGUCUUGAAUUCUAUAUAAUUUAGCAGUUGUAAACUUUUAUGGUUAUAUUUAGAAUUUUAAAAUAGCUUGUAGUUGUAUGAAACGCAUUGCUUUCAUAUAUAUGAAAUGCGUUCUUUUGCUA